rnacentral:misc_RNA from 1 species
GAUGAAGAACGCAGCGAAAUGCGAUAAGUAAUGUGAAUUGCAGAAUUCAGUGAAUCAUCGAAUCUUUGAACGCACAUUGCGCCCGCCAGUAUUCUGGCGGGCAUGCCUGUUCGAGCGUCAUUACAACCCUCAGGCCUCCGGGCCUGGCGUUGGGGAUCGGCGGAGCCCCCCGUGGGCACACGCCGUCCCCCAAAUACAGUGGCGGUCCCGCCGCAGCCACCUCUGCGUAGUAGUUUUCUCCUCGCAAGGGCAGCUCGACGACGACCACGCCGUAAAACCCCCAACUUCUGAAAGGUUGACCUCGAAUCAGGUAGGAAUACCCGCUGAACUUAAGCAUAUCAAUAAGCGGAGGA